GAUGAACGCUAGCGACAGGCCUAACACAUGCAAGUCGAGGGGCAUCGGGGUGUAGCAAUACGCUGCCGGCGACCGGCGGAUGGGUGAGUAACGCGUAUGCAACCUGCCUUCAGCAGGGGGAUAGCCCGUUGAAAGACGGAUUAAUACCCCGUAACACAGGGGCUCCGCAUGGAGAUUAUUGUUAAAGGGAUGCUUCCUUCGGGGAGUAUUCCGGCUGAAGAUGGGCAUGCGUUCCAUUAGGUAGUUGGUUGAGGUAACGGCUCACCAAGCCUGCGAUGGAUAGGGGAACUGAGAGGUUGGUCCCCCACACUGGUACUGAGACACGGACCAGACUCCUACGGGAGGCAGCAGUGAGGAAUCUUGGUCAAUGGACGGAAGUCUGAACCAGCCAUGUCGCGUGAAGGAGGACGGCCCUAAGGGUUGUAAACUUCUUUUGCAGGGGAAUAAAGUAUUCCACGAGAUGGGAUAUUGCAAGUACGCUGCGAAUAAGGAUCGGCUAACUCCG
rnacentral:rRNA from 1 species